UGCAUCUCUUCUUUACGUUUUAAUGAACAAUGAAAUGCUUGGAACGCCCAUCAAACUCACUGGACUGCAAUUGUUUGAUCAUACGGACCAGGGGCCCCAAGGCUAUCUCUUUGCUUGAGGGUGGUAGCAGUUGCAGAAAAAGCUGUUAAGGAAUCCAUAUGGUUGGCCCAGUAAAUGACCCUGAAGCCCAGCAGGUUGCCGUUCAGAGCAUCUUUGGGAGGGGUCAGCCAG